AUCAACUACUUGUGGCGGGCCCAGGCGCCUGCAGGCUGACUCUGGUCGUCAGUUGAACCGUGUUUCCUCCGACACAUUGGUGCGGCUGGCUUCCGGGUUAAGCGAGUGGGUGUUAAAGAGCGCGGUUUGGCGAGUCAUGUUUCGGAGGACGCAUGACCCUACCUUCGAAUCUCCCGAGCCCAUUGGGAGAGUCGCAGCGAUGAGACAAGAUUGUAAUUGGGAAGAAAAAGCCUCAGUGCCAAUAUCUUCGCGAGGUGAUUGAAAACGGGUGCUGUUUGUGUGGAGUGAAACGUCUUGGGAAGCCAACGGCUCAGCCGCAAUGUGGUAGGCCACACAAGAUUACAGAACGGGACUGCAGUGUACCCUGCUACGAUGUGCCCUUAUGAACAUGGCCCAGGACAGGGAUAUCCGUCUGGCCUGCCUGGUCUCUGGGUCUAAGGAGUUGAAAAAUGGACGCAGAAACGCCUAGGAACAACAUCAAAAGCAGACAUUUGGAGCAUGUAAACAUAUGCAACUACACCCACGCUAGCAUGUGCAUAUCACGCCUCACAAAUGCUGCGCUCCAACAUCAAUGACACUGCCGGGGGUGCCGCUGCGCCACGGUCUCCGCAACAUAAAAAAAACAUUCAAGAGCUGAACUGCAACAUUCACGUUUACAACCAGAAAAGAAAAUUAGGCUCAGGAUUAGAAAAUAUGACCUGUUUUCAGUAAUACCAUGUUCAUUCUCCUGGAAGGGCUGAUGAGUUCCUUCCUGUUUUCCCACUGUCAAUAACUUGCCCCUUCAAACACGUGCUGACCUGUGUGUGCGUGUGUGUGACAACGACUGAAGUGUGUGUAAAACUGAGGUCCUGCCAAGGACAGUUUGGUGUAUAUGCAUGCAUCAUGCAUUCAAAAGUUAGGUGGCUGCAGAGUACAAACAAACCCAAUGACAUUGGAAUUCAGUAGUGAGCACGACAGACGCUGGGGUCUGUGUAUCCAUCUGCCCAUGGUUUACCUGUUUGGUUGAUUUCUAUUCUGGUCCCAUUGGUUACCUUGUCCAGAAGCCGGAUGAAGCUGGCUUCAAAAUCUAGAACAUACACAAAAAAAUAUGUCAAUAAAAGUGUGUUCAACCCCAAUAACAACCUUAUCUAUUUAUUAGGCACAUGCAGCAUUUACUUGACUGUCUACAAACAGCUAUGGGAUAUUUUGCAGAAUUAAGGGUGUGUGUUUAUAGAAGCAUGAUUUUCUAUAGAGCUGAACCAAAGGAGUGUUAGUCUUUGGUUGAACACAAAUGCUAGCUGGGUAGUGACUGCUGCCUAGCUAAUGUUAACUAACAAAACCCUCAAAAGGGAUCACAUGAAUAUUCAUUGUUAUGUAGCUAUGGUCCUACUGUAUCAUGCAUUAGAUGUUGUCCAAUAACUUAGCUGGUUGAUUAAGUUAUAGGUCAUUUGUGCCAAAAAGCAACAAUUCGGUCUACUUGGGCGUGCUGGAAUGGAUGAACUUUAACUGCGUAGUAACAGCUAGCUAGGUAAUGCUAGCCAUAUGUAAUAAUGCGACGCCACAUUGGUGUUUUGCAGUCCACUUACCUCUAAGUCCUGGGUUAUCGUCUUUAGAUCGAAUGUUUCUGAUUUUGACUCUUUUGCCACUUAGUGUUGACAACACUAGUCGUUGUCUGAAAAAAUUACAACCAUCGUAAGUGAAUCCCUGGCUUGCCAUGCUGUUGUUAUUUCCACACGUGUGUUCAAUAUGGGGAGUCGAGAGAGUAAAGGGUUAACUACGGGACGCCACGAGGGACAUGAAGGGCAUUUUAAACGUGGUAUUCGUAUUAACCACCAGAUGGCGCCAUAAGCAUAGCUUUAAACCCGGUAUCUCGAGCUUUAUCAAACACCACAGGACACAAAGUUCAGACAGAGAGGGUUAUGAUGAGAAACAUUUUGACCGUGGGUAAAUAUCAGUAAUUAUUCAAUAAUUUAUUUAUUCUCUGUCCAAAUGGUCUUUGGUUAAAAUAAAAGCCUAUGUAAAAAACACAUACCCUUAUGGCUCAUUUCCAUACAUUUCCAUAUACCAUUGUUCUCCAGAA